UAACGCGUGGGAACAUACCCUUUUCUACGGAAUAGCCUCGGGAAACUGAGAGUAAUACCGUAUAAGCCCUUCGGGGGAAAGAUUUAUCGGGAAAGGAUUGGCCCGCGUUAGAUUAGAUAGUUGGUGGGGUAAUGGCCUACCAAGUCUACGAUCUAUAGCUGGUUUUAGAGGAUGAUCAGCAACACUGGGACUGAGACACGGCCCAGACUCCUACGGGAGGCAGCAGUGGGGAAUCUUAGACAAUGGGCGCAAGCCUGAUCUAGCCAUGCCGCGUGUGUGAUGAAGGUCUUAGGAUCGUAAAGCACUUUCGCCAGGGAUGAUAAUGACAGUACCUGGUAAAGAAACCCCGGCUAACUCCGUGCCAGCAGCCGCGGUAAUACGGAGGGGGUUAGCGUUGUUCGGAAUUACUGGGCGUAAAGCGUACGUAGGCGGAUUGGAAAGUUGGGGGUGAAAUCCCAGGGCUCAACCCUGGAACUGCCUCCAAAACUAUCAGUCUAGAG
rnacentral:rRNA from 1 species